GGAGAGAGAGAGAGAGAGAGAGAGAGAGAGAGAGAGAGAGAGAGAGAGAGAGAGAGAGAGCGUAAAUGGACGAGUAAAUCGGGAAUAGCCGCGUAGACGAGAGGCGACAAUUUUUAUCCUUACACAAUUUUAAUCUGUAACGAGGGCUCGCAAUUAGCGCUCGCGCUCGCACACACACGCGCGAACACAAGCACGCAAGACCGCGCACGCGUUCGGUGGAACGCGUGCGCGCAGGUAGAAGCAUUCGUUACCCGGUAAUAAAGCUGUCGAACGAAGCAAUAAUUAGCGGAAGCUGACAUAGAGGUAAAGCGACGGAGAGUGUGCGGUAGAAACGUAGAGGAUAACGAAUCGUUUAAACUUUAAACACAGCUCACGUAUUAUACAAACAUAAUCGACACGCGUACCGUGCGCCUAAUCGACGGUUUAGCAAGACUUAUUACAUUGUAAUUAUCGAGGGUGACUAGCGACGGCUUUUGUAAGGCGAGGACGACGACGACGACGACGACGACGACGACGACGACGACGACGACGACGGCGAUGCAACCCGGUUGCAUCGAUGUACACGUAAACUACCGAGCGCCGAUGUAUUUGUGUGUACGCAUCGAGAGACGCGUGUGCACGUAUUUACGUUGUUAACGUAUGCGAGAAACGUACGCGACGCGUGUAGGUACCUAGGUACGUGUACACGCGAGGAAGUUUGAAAAUCGGCGCGACACGCGUGACCAGUGCACGUUACGUAUACAUAUUUAUGAUACAUUACAUUACGUCCUGAGAGAGAGAGAGAGAGAGAGAGAGAGAGAAAGAAAGAAUCGCGAGGCGAGAUGCUAGGAAAAACGGUAGGAGAAAGCAUGAGAGCGUGUGCCCGUGUACGAGCGAAAGAGAGUAGUACGAUAACGAAGGUAAAUAGCGAAAGAAAUUGCGCAAGUAUCCAUAUUUUAUAGCUUUUACUUCAAAGUAUAGUACACGCGGAUUGCGAAGUUAACUAUAUUUAUAGAGGAUACGUUGACAAAAGGUAUUACCGAUGAAAUUCUAUCGAGCAAAGGCAGGCUGGUAGAAGCUCGGUCUUCGAUCGGCGAGACGGAGAUCGAGAUCGAAAGGUACUUCGCGAACGCGUUCGAUCGGUCUCGGAUCGGCCUUGGGAUCGGCCGUCGAGAUCUGGCCGAGGACGAAUCGUUCGGGAUCGAUCGAAGGUGGUCGGAUCCGCGUGGAGAGUACCGUAGCGUGGAGCGAAGGGGGGGCUACCAGUCGCCGCUGUGCUCCGUUUAACGAACGAGAAAAGCGAAAAAAAAAAACAUAAGAGAUUAUACCUUGCAUGACUACGUAGGGCUAUACUGCCGCCGAAGCAAUACAAAGAGCAAUAUAGAAUUAACGAGUAAAGAAAACAAAUAAAUCGCAGAUAAUUAACGAAACAAGUUAAAAAGGUAAACUAAAGGUAAACAUUAAUUAUACCUGAGAGGGGACGCCGUAGGUUACGACUUCUCGUUACACUCGCGUACAGACGCGCGCGCGCGCGCACGCAAACGCGAAUACAAAUACAAAUACGAAACACGACUCUCGCGCCCGCGCGCGCACACACACGUACACACACGCGCGCACACACGCACCGCGGUACACGACGCAAACAGAGACUCGAACCACAGUUAUACCCGAUACCUACUCGGACACACGCGAACAUUAUGUAUGGUCAUUAAUUUAUUCUGACCGUAGUGCUAAAUGUAUUUAGCAUUUACGUAGAUGACACUAAUUGCCUAGGUCGAGCAGCUCGUACGGGGAUCCACGGGCCGCCGUGGAUCGUCCGCCAUCUUGUCGAUUGAACUUUCGAUCGCGAGAGUCCAAGCACGAACCUCGCCGACAAUUUCUUUUCCGUAUACCGUAUACCGUAUACCGUAUACCGUAUACCGUAUACCGUAUACCGUAUACCGUAUACCGUGUAUCGUAUACCGUAUCGAACGGGAUACCGUCGAGUCAAUAUCUCUGAAAGAUUUUCAAGCGAAGCCUGCAGAAAACGCGGAGCCAACGAAUUCUCCAUUAUGGCGGGAGACGCGCGGCGGCAACGAUGGCCGCCCAGCCCGAGCGAAUUUCGGCUAACGAGAAACGGUAGUGAUAUAGAAUUUAUCGUAGCGAUCGCUAAUGUAUUUCACUCGGUGCCUGUGACAGCUAAGCUCGCUAUAUCUGUUCAAGAACGAAACGAUUGACAAUACAUUGUUGAGUGGAGAGCAACAGGCGUUCGGAAACCUGUUCAUCUUCCUUCGCGGGCUUGGCGACGCCUCCUCCUCCUCCUCCUCCUUCUCCUCCGCCUCGUCCUUCUCGCCUUCUCAACUUUUUCUAGUGGCAAACCUAUUUACGAACCUCCGUUCUCCGCUCUAUUCGUUCUCCCGAUCCGGGUCCGAUCUUCUCGCCAACAACUUCUCGCCAACUUGUUCGCCAUCGAUCGUCGUAUCUCCGCUCGGAAGCUCGAUUCGAGCCGAGCCGGGUCGACCGACCGCCUCGCGAAUCCUCUUCGGAUUCGUCGAAUCCUUUCGAUCUGUCCUUCUCUCUUUCUUAUUUGAUCGCUGAUCCGCUUUUGUUCUCGCGACAGACUCUCUAGCCGUUUUUCUCUCGGCAACAGAUUUCUGUCGAUGAAAUUCGAGACGGCGAAAAGAUUCAAAGUAUUUUUAAUGGAAGAAUAGAUAGAAAUUUGUAUUUUAUAUAGCAUAUUCGACUCGAUGAAACGAUCGAAUCGGGGUCUCGACCGAUAACCGGAGACAAAGUUUCGAAGUAACGCCGUCGAGACCGCUUCGAGAACGUCGCGGACGAAGACGUCGUAGAGGGGAAAGUCCGUCGAUCGCGUAAUUUCCAUCGAAGUUCGGUCGAUCGAAACGUCGUUAGUUUUUUCCUGUCGGCUCCGUCGGCUUCCGACUCCGACGCGUACAAAUCUCCGAAUCCUCCGCGGUCGGUCGACCCGAGCGUCGCAUCGAGCGUUCGUCGAUCGUUCGUCGAGAGCCUCGGCCUCGAUUUUCCUCGAUCGUCCUCCACCCCGCACCCCUCGCGCUUCUCGCCCUGUUUCUCUCAAGUCGGGUUCCGAGUUCCGAGUUCCGAAUUCCGAAACGCGUCGACGCGUCGUCGCGUCGACGCGUUCGACCGACCACGACACGGCUGUUCACGGGUACCACCUGGAACACGUAGUAUUAGCAUGGUGUGAAACGAAUAACGAAAAAUAAAAAAACGCAUAAAAUAAACUAAAAUACCAAGUAAAAGUAAACAAGUAAAAAAACGUAAAACGCGAUAGUGGAACGCUAGAUGAAUUUAGCUUUAAGCUUCUUUCUCGCUAAGAGGGAACCUAUUAUUAUAACGAAUAUUUACAUACAUUUGUAUUAUUUGUAAACUAGCGCUAAUACAAAACUCCAAUUGUGCAUCGAAA